AUUGAACGCUGGCGGCAGGCUUAACACAUGCAAGUCGAGCGGGGUGAUGGUGCUUGCACUAUCACUUAGCGGCGGACGGGUGAGUAAUGCUUAGGAAUCUGCCUAUUAGUGGGGGACAACAUCUCGAAAGGGAUGCUAAUACCGCAUACGUCCUACGGGAGAAAGCAGGGGAUCACUUGUGACCUUGCGCUAAUAGAUGAGCCUAAGUCGGAUUAGCUAGUUGGUGGGGUAAAGGCCUACCAAGGCGACGAUCUGUAGCGGGUCAGAGAGGAUGAUCCGCCACACUGGGACUGAGACACGGCCCAGACUCCGACGGGAGGCAGCAGUGGGGAAUAUUGGACAAUGGGGGGAACCCUGAUCUAGCCAUGCCGCGUGUGUGAAGAAGGCCUUAUGGUUGUAAAGCACUUUAAGCGAGGAGGAGGCUCUUUUGGUUAAUACCCAAGAUGAGUGGACGUUACUCGCAGAAUAAGCACCGGCUAACUCUGUGCCAGCCGCCGCCGUAA
rnacentral:rRNA from 1 species